GAGGAGGGAAGCGCGGCGCGAGGGGAGGAAGGGAGGGGAAAGGGGCCGAGCCGCUCCCGCGCUGCGCCACAACCCGCCGCCGCCGCCUCCUCCUCCUCCUCCUCCUUCUCCGCCGCCGCCGCGCCCGGAGCCCCGUGAGCACGCCCGGCCCGCCCCGCGCCGGGUCCCGAGCGAGGGGCGGGAGCGGCAGCGCCCGCGGAGCGCGUGCUUUACCGUGAAGGAAAACUACAGGCCCAGCCUCGAGGAAUUUCUGCUCAGCAUCAGUGCCACAUCCAGUUUCCUGGGGAAAACGACUUAAAUCUCUGGGGCCUUGUUCCAUUCCCACAGUUAACACAUUUAAACAUUUUGCUGGGAGUCUUCGAAUUGCUGUGGUUUUUACAGUGCAGAAAAAGUGAUUCAAAAUCUACCUGCGCUUUCUCUCUCCAAAACCAACACUCCCUAAACAGCAGUACAGGCAGAGAUACCAGUAUUGCAGGUUUCUGGGACUUGUAUUUUAGGUUUGCCCGUUCUAUGACAAACACUUGCACAGGGAGCGAGUGCGAUGCCACUGCUUGCAUUGCAUCCAGUUGUGCAAGUUUCAACCUGCUGUCUGGCUUUGGCUCCUCCAGACAAGAGUCUUGCUGUUCCAAACCGUCCCUUGCAGGUUGGAUCGGGCGCAGAUGAACAGGAGUUGGUACAUGUUGGCUGAUGGAAUUAGCCCUGCUACCUGUGAAGGCUGGGAGCUCCUGCUCCUGAGUUAUUAUGCAGCUUUAUCACAGCACUGCUUAUGUUGUAAUCCAGCAAGUGCUUGAUCUUUUACCCGCCCAGGCACUGCAGGCAUCUUUAAUUAUCCGAGGGUUAAUUUGCAUGGGAGCUUUUGCUGAAACAAUAAAUUCAUACCUCUGUUAUUAUUUGGUAUGAGUUUCUGUAUCAAUAUUUAUAUUUGAGGAAAACCAAAGGAGCUUCCUGCUAGCACUAAGACAAAGGAAUUGCUUCAGAGCAAGUUCAAGAGUCAUCCAGCACUAAGAACAUCUUCCAGUUCUUUGCAGGGGAAGAGCAAUUAUAACCUGUGGUGGGAGAACAUGUGCUCCAGUGCCUCUUUUCUAUGCAGGGAUGAGGAGAUAAAAAUGUCUUGUCUGACGAAAAGCACGUUUUGCAAGGCUUGACAAAUACAGUGUUCACCUUGGGCCAAUGUGGAACACUGUGGAGUGUGUACAGUAUCUUCUAUCUGUGUUUCUUUGUACGCUACAUGAACUAAAUCCCAAAUAAUCCCAUGGAGCAAGGGAGUGGUUUCGUCUCCCUGUCACAGAUCUGAGGUGGAGGCACAAACAAAACAGUACUUUGCAGGGAAUUACAGUACCAGCUAGAAGAAGACCCAGGUUUUCAUCAUGGCUCCUGACAUUUGUCCUUGCCAGUAAAGCAUGUCCCCCUUUCAAUGCCACAGGAUGUUUUAUAAUAGGGGAAAAGAUGUUUUUAGCAGAACUGUUCUACAUUAAAAGGAAGCAUUUAUUUUCAUUGGUAUCAGCUCCGUGAAGGCUUGACCCUGGGACCACAAUGGGAGUUUUAUCCUUGACUUUAAUGGAAGAACAAUCAAGGUCUCGUGAUAUUACAUCCUAAAGAAAGGCAAAUACUGCAGUUUGUAUCAAUAAGAUAAAUGUCUCACAUUUAGUGUAAGCCGCUAUAUUCUUGCAAUAAAUGGUUUAUUAGAUUGAUUAAAUGUCUUAACUUCACCUCAGCUAUUAAUCACUUUUGGCAGCUGUUUACUGCUUUGUAUACUUUGAAGUAAUGGAGAUUAUUCCUUAAUUAUCUCAUUGCAGUUCAAUCAUUGUUUCCUAAAUAGUGCCAUUAGAAUGGUAAAUUGCAACAGUAAAACAGUGUCAAUACAGAGUUAUGGAGUUCCCAUUUUAUGACGCAUUCAUAAAGUCAACACAAUCUCCUUUAAACGCGGCUGUGAUUUCCACACAGUGCCCUAUUUGAUAUGGCAGAGGAGAUUUUGAUGAGGAAACACUAGAGCACUAAGUGUGCCGGGACUCUGCUUUCACCAAAGUAAAACACAGAGUAUUCCCCCUUGGAAUAUCUGUGCACAUCAGAAUUUAUUAAACCAGUGCUUGUUUGAUCACCUUCGGUUUCACCAAGUGCUGUGAAUUCCGAGAAUGUUGUGCCCUUGAAUACAGGGUGUUUAUUUCUGCGCAAAAGGAGAUGAGAAAACUCCAAGCAAUGCUAUCAUUUAGAGGUUACCAUUGUCAUUCUGCAGAAGGAUAAGAGAGUACAAAAUCAAUCAGAAGAAAAUGGCUGCUUUUAAUAUUGUCUUCAGAUCCGGCAGCAAGUCAUAACGUAGCAGUUGCACAACAAUUUCCAUUCUGAGUCCCUUUUCCAGUCAACUGUAACUGUCCUGAACUUUAACAUUAUGAGUUGUCUGUUUCAGGCUGAGUUGUUUGGGAGGAACCAGUAUUACUGUCAAACUGAGAAACCUUCAUGAAACCUGCUUUCAAAUGCUGUAACAGAAAUUCUCUUCCUUCUUGCUCCCCAAUAAAGGCUUUUGGGGGAAAAAUAAUGUUGCAAAUUAUGGGUAAGUCUGGGGGAUUUAUUCUCCUUGAGUUUUUACCAUGCAUAUCAUAGAAAAUGUGGGUCCUUAGCUUGGGUUAAAGUAGGGCUGAAGAAAAAGUGAAUGGGUUUUUUACUAACAUUAACAAUUUAUGUUCAACCCCAAGUUCCGGUAGACUACUAAUCCAGAAACUUUGAUUAAGGAAACCAACUAAGAUAAGGCCUGAUUGUACCAGAUAUCAGACACACAUGUGAGGAAUAAUGCCUGAAAAGCGUUCAACCCAACGUGAAGCAAACGUGUAAUUAAAAUUCCUGUCCAUAAUUCCCAGUGUUGGGCUGAAUUCAGCUGGUGACCCACAGGUAGAAGGCUCACCUGGUGACCUACAAGUGACAUAUCCAGUCCUUCCUAAUUGCAGAUGUUCCACCUUUGCAAGACAGCCUGCUCUCUUUUUAGCAAGCAAUCAAAUCAUGUUCCAGGCUUUUCAAAGGCUGGCAAAGUCUCCCAUUCGUGUGCUCUUUGCAUCUUCUGCUUCAUCUGGCCAAGUUU